CCUACGGGAGGCUGCAGUGGGGAAUCUUGGGCAAUGGGGGAAACCCUGACCCAGCGACGCCGCGUGAAGGACGAAGGCCUUCGGGUUGUAAACUUCUUUGGCCAGGGACGAAAGUGACUGUACCUGGAGAACAAGCCACGGCUAACUACGUGCCAGCAGCCGCGGUAAUACGUAGGUGGCAAGCGUUAUCCGGAAUUACUGGGUGUAAAGGGCGCGUAGGCGGGUUUAUAAGUUAGAUGUUUAAUUCCUUGGCAUAACCAAGGGUAGUCAUUUAAAACUGUAGACCUUGAGGCUCAGAGAGGACAGUGGAAUUCCUAGUGUAGCGGUAAAAUGCGUAGAGAUUAGGAGGAACACCAGUGGCGAAGGCGACUGUCUGGCUGAGAACUGACGCUGAGGCGCGAAAGCGUGGGGAGCAAACAGGAUUAGAUACCCUGGUAGUC
rnacentral:rRNA from 1 species